rnacentral:rRNA from 1 species
GUGCAGCAGCUGCGGUAAUACCGGCAGCUCAAGUGAUGUCCUAUAUUAUUGGGCCUAAAGCGUCCGUAGCUGGCCGACCAAGUCUCCCGGGAAAUCCACCCGCCCAACGGGUGGGCGUCCGGUAGAAACUGGCCGGCUUGGAACCGGAAGGCUCAGAGAGUACGUCCGGGGUAGGAGUGAAAUCCCGUAAUCCCGGACGGACCACCGAUGGCGAAAGCACUCUGAGAAGACGGCUUCGACAGUGAGGGACGAAAGCUAGGGUCUCAAACCGGAUUAGAUACCGAGUAGUCC